GGUCUCUGGCUGAAAGGCCGAGUUCAGGGUGUGAUGAGAUUUUGGCAUUGUUCUGCCAUAGUCAGACUUUCCAGCGUGAAGCACUAAUGGAUGCAGGAACACUCAGAGUGUUGGAGAAUUGUUCGGAUAGGAAGGUAAGGCACAGCAUUCACCAUAGUCAUGAGUCUGGCUUUUGGCAUAAAAUUUCCAGCACUGCUGUGUAACACCUGAGCUUUCUAGAGCUCCUUGCGGCUCACUGUUUCUAUCUCGCCUUGUAGGGCCGUAGGUGUUUGUUUAUUUAUUUUUAACCAAUAUUAACUCUUGAAUGCAAACAAGGGGAUCUUUGAAUGUGCUUGCCUUUGUAUUUUUCACACUGCCAUAGAAAUGUGCAAGCGUUUCCAAAUUUGUUUUUUUUACUUUCAUGACAAAAGCACAUAAAAGCAUUACCAUUUAGAGAGAUGGCUUAGACGCAAGAGCUCUGGCCUUGCAAGCACUGGGACCUGAGUUUGAUUUUCCAGAAUCCACAUAAAAACCCCUGGUGAGGUAUUACAUAUUUGUAAUUCUAGCACUGGGGAGAUAGAGAUAAACAUAUGCCUGAGACUUGCUAUUCAGCCAGCUUAGAAUAAUUGGUGAGCUCUAGGCCAGUGAGAGACCCUGUCUCAAAAAAACCAACAACAAAAAAGCAGUGUCCAAGGAGUUAAACCUUAGCUUGUUCUCUGGCCUCCAUAUACAUGUACACACACACACACACACACACACAUUUGCUUACACAUGCACAGAUAGGAUACAUACAGACAGAGAAAAGAAGAAAAGAAAAAGCAUUAGAAAUAGAAGAUUUGAAUAUGAAACUCUGAAUUGAACUUGAGACUGUUGUCUAGCUGACUAGGCAUGGUAGGAAGGACGGAGAUGGAAGAUUUAAUAGCUAACUCUUCUGAAAAAUGAAAUAGGAAGAAGUCAAUCCAGGCACUUGCCAAUUGUUUUUGCUCUCCAUAGGGAUGUUGAAUCAUCCUGUUAUCCGAGGCAUGAGCCAGCCCUACAGCUGAGGGAGGACUUAAACUCUCCUUAACAAUGGUUAGACUCAUGGUGAAUCCUGAGGAAGUCACACAUGACCACUCUCUUGCUUGAUUCUCCAGCCCAGGGAAGAGAAGGAAGGUAGAAUCCUUAAUAGUUAAGUCCUCAAAAAUGACCAAUCUCAAUAAAAAAUGGCCUUAUUCCCAAUUCCACGCCAGUCUUAAAACCCAUAAAGGGGAGUGGGUAGGGCAGCAGAUUUGUUUUUUCUCCCUCAGAGACUCUUUUAUACUCUAAGGAUCUUUUUCAUAUUUCCGUUUGGAAUUUUCACUUGUAUCUCUGCUCUAAUGCCUUUGAAACAGUAUCUAUAAAGUGUGGCAAUCCCAUGAAAGAACAUUUGAAGGCACAAGAAUGAUGCAGUCACAGUCGUUGUAAUUAUUGGAGCAUUCAAGGAUGUAAGUUCCAGAUGGUCUUUGAGUUGUUCAUUUGAAGUAUUAAUAUUUGCAUUAUGAUAAAUAUUUUUAUCUUUGUUUCCAGCCUUUGGAAUUAUAGCACAUCAGAAUUGGGAACAUAUUCAUAAAUACUUCUGAAGUUUUGGGGGCUGUAUGUGGAAACAGGAAAAAAUGAAAAGAGCCAGCAGUAUUGUGAACUAUUGUGGAUGUUUCUGGACAUUUUAUAUAGUUCUAACAGCAAUGUUUGCUUAGAAAUUAAUGUUAGGUUCCCCUAAAACCCACUGUGUAGACUUUGGAGGUCUGCCAUGGGUUGAGAGAAGGUCUCUAUUGCUUCCUGUGCUCAGGAAAAAGGAGAUUAAAGACACCCAAAGUCCUACCCCACUGUCUUUGAAGAUCUUACUUGACACAUGAGUUUCAAAGACUUUCUUUUCUCAAUACUUUAAACUAAACAGAAUUAAUCCAUCUAUAUCCAUCAA
rnacentral:lncRNA from 1 species